rnacentral:rRNA from 1 species
AACGAACGCUGGCGGCAUGCCUAACACAUGCAAGUCGAACGAGACCUUCGGGUCUAGUGGCGCACGGGUGCGUAACGCGUGGGAACCUGCCCUUAUGUUCGGAAUAACUCCCCGAAAGGGGUGCUAAUACCGGAUAAUGUCUUCGGACCAAAGAUUUAUCGCCUUUGGAUGGGCCCGCGUUGGAUUAGCUAGUUGGUAGGGUAAAAGCCUACCAAGGCGACGAUCCAUAGCUGGUCUGAGAGGAUGAUCAGCCACACUGGGACUGAGACACGGCCCAGACUCCUACGGGAGGCAGCAGUGGGGAAUAUUGGACCAUGGGCGAAAGCAUGAUCCAGCAAUGCCGCGUGAGUGAUGAAGGCAUUAGGGUUGUAAAGCUCUUUUACCCGGGAUGAUAAUGACAGUACCGGGAGAAUAAGCUCCGGCUAACUCCGUG